rnacentral:rRNA from 1 species
GACGGAGGAUGCAAGCGUUAUCCGGAAUGAUUGGGCGUAAAGCGCACGUAGGCGGCUAGAUAAGUCGGGUGUGAAAGCCCUGGGCUCAACCCAGGAAGUGCAUUCGAAACUGCCUAGCUUGAAUCUCGGAGGGGGUCAGAGAAUUCCCGGUGUAGAGGUGAAAUUCGUAGAUAUCGGGAGGAAUACCAGUGGCGAAGGCGCUGACCUGGACGAAGAUUGACGCUGAGGUGCGAAAGCGCGGGGAGCAAACAGG